UACGUAGGGGGCCAGCGUUGUCCGGAAUCAUUGGGCGUAAAGCGCGCGUAGGCGGGUUGGUAAGUCCGCUGUGAAAGCCCGGAGCUCAACUCCGGAGGGUCGGUGGAUACUGCCAGUCUUGAAGGUGCUAGGGGGAGAUGGAAUUACCGGUGUAGCGGUGAAACGCGUAGAUAUCGGUAGGAACACCAGUGGCGAAGGCGGUCUCCUGGGGCAUUCUUGACGCUGAGGCGCGAAAGCUGGGGGAGCAAACGGG
rnacentral:rRNA from 1 species